rfam:Pseudothermotoga thermarum DSM 5069 chromosome, complete genome.
GCCGAGGUGGCGGAACUGGCAGACGCGACUGACUCAAAAUCAGUUGAGGGUUGACCCCCUCGUGCGGGUUCGACUCCCGCCCUCGGCA